AUUGAACGCUGGCGGCAUGCUUUACACAUGCAAGUCGAACGGUAACAGGGUGCUUGCACCGCUGACGAGUGGCGAACGGGUGAGUAAUGCGUCGGAACGUGCCGAGUAGUGGGGGAUAACGCAUCGAAAGGUGUGCUAAUACCGCAUACGUACUGAGGUAGAAAGUGGGGGACCUUCAGGCCUCACGCUAUUCGAGCGGCCGACGUCUGAUUAGCUAGUUGGUGAGGUAAAGGCUCACCAAGGCGACGAUCAGUAGCGGGUCUGAGAGGAUGAUCCGCCACACUGGGACUGAGACACGGCCCAGACUCCUCCGGGAGGCAGCAGUGGGGAAUUUUGGACAAUGGGCGCAAGCCUGAUCCAGCAAUGCCGCGUGCAGGAUGAAGGCCUUCGGGUUGUAAACUGCUUUUGUACGGAACGAAAAGCCCUGGGUUAAUACCCUGGGGUCAUGACGGUACCGUAAGAAUAAGCACCGGCUAACUACGUGCCAGCCGCCGCAGUAAUAC
rnacentral:rRNA from 1 species